rnacentral:rRNA from 1 species
GAGUUUGAUCCUGGCUCAGGAUGAACGCUGGCGGCAUGCCUAAUACAUGCAAGUCGAACGAGAGGAAGGAAAGCUUGCUUUUCUGAAUCUAGUGGCGAACGGGUGAGUAACACGUAGGUAACCUGCCCAUGUGCCCGGGAUAACUUCUGGAAACGGAUGCUAAAACCGGAUAGGUAGCAGACAAGCAUUUGACUGCUAUUAAAGUGGCUAAGGCCAUGAACAUGGAUGGACCUGCGGUGCAUUAGCUAGUUGGUGAGGUAACGGCCCACCAAGGCGACGAUGCAUAGCCGGCCUGAGAGGGCGGACGGCCACAUUGGGACUGAGACACGGCCCAAACUCCUACGGGAGGCAGCAGUAGGGAAUUUUCGUCAAUGGGGGGAACCCUGAACGAGCAAUGCCGCGUGAGUGAAGAAGGUCUUCGGAUCGUAAAGCUCUGUUGUAAGAGAAAAACGACAUUCAUAGGGAAUGAUGAGUGAGUGAUGGUAUCUUACCAGAAAGUCACGGCUAACUACGUGCCAGCAGCCGCGGUAAUACGUAGGUGGCGAGCGUUAUCCGGAAUGAUUGGGCGUAAAGGGUGCGUAGGUGGCAGAACAAGUCUGGAGUAAAAGGUAUGGGCUCAACCCGUACUGGCUCUGGAAACUGUUUAGCUAGAGAACAGAAGAGGACGGCGGAACUCCAUGUGUAGCGGUAAAAUGCGUAGAUAUAUGGAAGAACACCGGUGGCGAAGGCGGCCGUCUGGUCUGUUGCUGACACUGAAGCACGAAAGCGUGGGGAGCAAAUAGGAUUAGAUACCCUAGUAGUCCACGCCGUAAACGAUGAGAACUAGGUGUUGGGGGAAUAACUCAGUGCCGCAGUUAACGCAAUAAGUUCUCCGCCUGGGGAGUAUGCACGCAAGUGUGAAACUCAAAGGAAUUGACGGGGGCCCGCACAAGCGGUGGA